UACGGGGGGUGCGAGCGUUGUCCGGAAUCACUGGGCGUAAAGGGCGCGUAGGUGGUCUGAUAAGGGUGUGGUGAAAGCCCGGGGCUCAACCCCGGGUCGGCCGUGCCGACUGUUAGACUAGAGUGCUGUAGGGGCAGGCGGAAUUCCGGGUGUAGCGGUGGAAUGCGUAGAGAUCCGGAGGAACACCGAUGGCGAAGGCAGGUCUCUGGGCCACUACUGACGCUGAGAAGCGAAAGCAUGGGGAGCGAACAGG
rnacentral:rRNA from 1 species